AAAACGAACCAAGGAAGAGAAGAGCGCGAGAAAGCCAAACAAGCGUUCCACCGCUCACGCGACCAAAGGGCACGUGUGUCUAAUGGACUGUUGGGAGAGGUUUCUUUGUUAGUAGUCACAUGUUAGUUUACUACAAGUUACUACAAGGUACCUUACCAAACUCUCUGAGAAUGUGCUUCGUCGGUGGAAGUGUUUCCAGAAACAACUUUCCUUUGAGAAGUCUAGAGGAAAUUGCUGGAGUAUAAUGAUUGGAAAAAAAUUCGGCAUCUGUCGUCAUCGUACAGGACAGAAAGCUCUCCCUUACCUGAAGUCAGGAAACGAGGACACAAGUUAAGACAAAGACCAGCUGAAGGAAAAGUAAGAGGGUCAAGCAGAGAAGCCAGUGAUGACUGGCCAAAGAGGGGGGAGCCGGGGAGCAUCUGCCGGAGCUGAGACAGGAGUUGGAGAUGAGAGGCAGCUCUUACAAUGAUGCCAUCCAUGCCUUGCCCAUUGUGAUGGGAAAUCCAUUUCUUUUUAAGGAUCUGGAUUAUUUGGUUCAGCUCAGUUACAAGAGCCAGUCUUUUUGCUCCCAAACAGCUCUUCAUUUGGUACCAGUGUUGCCUUCAAAAUGUUUGUUCAAUAAAAACUAAAAUAGAGGAAAGAAAACUGACGCUCAGACAUGAGCUAAUGUAGCUACUGUGGUUCACACUGAAGGACUGUUUCAUAGAACAAGCUCAUUCAUGAGCAGAACAUCAUUAUUCAGCCCACAAGGUUUAUCUGGUACAUCAGCAUCCAUCCAGCCUCCAUGCAAGCUGUUUUUCACUUCUUGCCCCCAAUCUGGCAUCAGCACAUCAGUGGGAUCACUUGACUGUAAACAACCUAUAGGAUGAAAUUUGUGUGUAGUUUGUGUAACCUAUGCCUUUACAGCUGUUUGAUGGGUAUAAUACAGUUUGGUCUUGACAUGUAUGUAAGUUGUGAACUUAGGUAAUCCUGGGACAUUUUAUUAAACACUUACCAAUUCAGUAUUUCUAUUUUUAUGAUAAUGAAAAAAAUGUUGAAUUAUUUUAAUGACACAAAAUGGCAACAGCACAAUAAUUUCAACCAAAAGUACUGACAGUUAAAAGAAUUCUCAAGUUCUUUGUGUACAUUUUCACACAUGUGUGGAAAUGUGUGUCCAGCACUGAAGUGUGUAACCAGGCCUGUUAGGCUGAA